rnacentral:lncRNA from 1 species
AACUCAUUUCACCUAUGGAUAUUUUUCCAAAUAUAAACUCUAUGUUAAAUUAUUGCUAGAAUAAGCUUAAUCAAGUUACCGGGAUUCAAAAAACGUAAAGAACAUUAAAAACGGGGCUAAAAUGGACUUACAAUCUAGCUUGGAAGCUUGAAAAACCCUAGAUAUGUCUUUCUCAUGUAAAAUUCGGCCAAGGGGUUGAAGAUGGACAAAAAUUGGCUUUUAAUUUUGUUUUUAAUUCAUUUUAAUAACUAAAUGACCAAAAUGCCCUUAAUUAAAAACUAUGGUGUUUUAUCUUCCUUUAGGUAUUUUUGUCCAAACUAGUAUAAUGGUCUAAUUGCUAUCCAAUGACCUCCACUUUAAAAACCCAUUACUCACAAGUACUUAGUACCUUUGUGAACUAGUACACACAUUUUACAACUUUUGCAAUUUAGUCCUAAAUAUCAAAUUGGACCCUCUAUCUAUAAAAUUUAUGAACGAAAUUUUCACACAAUCAUGAAACCAUGCCAUAGACCUUAAAAUGAUAAUAAAAUAAUUAUUUCUAUCUCGUAUUUGUGGUCCCAAAACUACUAUUCCGAUUAGGCCCUAAUUCGAGAUAUUACAGGACCUGAAAUUUUAAAUCCAAAAAGUAGAUUAGUAUAUUCUCGAAAAUAAAAGUAGGGGACUAAAUUCCAAAUGUACAACGUGUAUAGGGACUUAGAGAAUAUUUUAACAUUCGAUUUUUUACUUUAUAAUUUGACAUAAACAAAUAAUCAACCCAACGCGAAGCAUGGGCUAGGAACCACAAUAGUUUAUAUUGAAUUUUAAGUUCAAGACAAGUACAAUAGAUUUUCUUCUAACAUGGUCAAAGACAAAACCAAAAUAAUGUUGAUAGUUAAGAAAUAAAUAAAUAUAUAAUUGUUGAGGGGGAAUCGACUUCUUCCGGAGAAGUCUUCAAUGCGUCGUCCUCUAAGCAACCGAUUGAAGCCCCCAAUAAUCGAAGGUAUUGUCCUUGGGAGAGAGUUUUGUCCCCAGCCUCCACGACGAGCCAACGUGCUGUAAGUGGCUACCUUGAAAGUCUACUUCAUACAUGGGUGCCUUGAUUAUACGUGGACAUAUGACCACUUAUCGAGAGGCAAUAAAAGCAUCUCGCCUUUGGUGGAGUUUAAACCCAUCACCAAUUACAUAUAAGCCACUUAUUAGAGUAUAUCUGUCCCAUAUAGAUCACAAUGACAAUCUUUUUUAAUUCAUUUUCUUAUUCUUCUUUUUUAUCAAGCACCGUCAAUUUUAUUUUCUAUCUAAAUUUUCACUCUCAAAUUUUUUUAUUAUAAUUUUCCAUUUAACUAAAUGCAUGUUAAAUGCCAUUUUGAAAAUGAAGUGGAGCACAUGUAAAAUACAUGAAUCAAAUUGUAAAGACAAGUUUAUAAUGUAUUUAUCACAUAAAUAACUUGAAUUUGACAUGUUAAAAGAAACAUAUAGCAUCAUUAAUAGGGGUGAAUUUAGAAAAUUUCUAAACAUUGGAAUUGAAUUAUAAAUUUUUUGAAAAUUCAAAAUGUAAUUUUAUAAUGUAUUAACUUAUAAUUUCAUCAUUUUUUUAAAUAAAUAAAUAAAUAAUUUUUUUAGAAAGGUAAAGCAUAAUUUUAUCAUUACAAAUUUUAAAUUUAAUCAUUUAUAACAAAACUAAAAAGAAACCUUCUUAGGGGUGGGGUUCAAAGCCCCCAUAUCCCCCACAUUGUAUUAGCCUCUUAACAUCCAAUGAAUGUCCGAAAUUAACUUAUAUUAUUUUUUUGGUAAAAAAUAGCAGAAAUCAACUACAUCAACAUAAUUCUAAUGAGAAUUUCCUAUGGUUUCGAGUUGUUGAAGAUCAGCUAACAACAAUGCUCUAACACUCAUUGGAGGCUAUUUAAAAGUGCAACUUGUAUUUAAAUCUUCAGCAUCCAUCUUCGUUAAGUAAUCCACAACCUUAUUUUAUUCCUUUGGAAUAUGUCGGAAUUUAACUUGCAAGCCAUUCACGAGUAGAGAGUAAAUGAGUCUUACCUCUAAAAGACUAUUAUCCAUUCCAUAACCGUUGCUAAUAAUAUCAAUCAGAAUGACAUUGUUAUUUUCCACUUCAAUCUGUCUGAAACCUUUAUUCGAUGCAAUAGAAAGUCCUUCAUAGAUCGCCAUUGACUCGGUUUAAAAAAUUCCCGAUUUGCCAAUUGUCAUUGUAAAGCCAAGUAAUUAGGCUUUAUCUUGAUUUCGGAACACCCCCUACUGCAACACAGGAUUUCUUAGGAGAGAAACCUAAAUUAAUAGCUAAAUUGAUGGAAGGAGCUAAUUAUAUGAAACCAUAUUUUGAAGAUAUAAUCAAAAUUCUUUGAGGAUUAGGACCAAAUUAAAAUCUAAAUCAUAAAUUGAGAACUACUGCUGCAAUUAAUCUAAAGAGUAUCAUAUUAAGCCAAAUUUGGCAUUAACUUUAAAUUUUCUAUUUAUUUAUCAGUUUCCCUCCGUACAAGUUUUUUCCCGCGUUUCUUCGAAGGUUUCUAAUAACUUCUAUUGGUUUCCAUUUCUUAAUCCGAAAUAUAAUUUACAAAGUAUGAAGUUAAUUAUUUUUGUAAAAAAUGGAAGCUUAGUUUGCAAAUCAGAUCAAAACAUUCGGGAUUUUAGCCAUUUUUUCGGGUGAACUACGAGCGCAUCGGACUUAUUCUACUCUCGAAGGUAGAGUGGACCGACGACCCGACCCGCAUUCAGGAUUUGGGUCCUUAAUUGAUCGGAAUUACAAUCGCGCCGGAAAUCAUUUCAGUCACCGUAAUCGGAGGCUUGAUUUGAACGGCCGUGAUCCUCUCCGUCGGUAUUCCCUACGCUCACGUGGCUUCUCCCUUUCCCUACGCUCAUUGCACAUUUCCUUUAUUAACAUGUCACUUAAUGUUUGUUUUUCGUUUGGUUGCUUAGAAAAGAAAAACCGAAAAGGAAAAAAUAAGUAUACGAAUUAAUAGAUGUUCUUGGAAGUGAAAAUAGAUUGAAUUUUCAUUUUGUUGAAAUAAAAUUUUGAUUAAUUAAUUUAUUUUGCUUUGAAAAUCAGUAGCUUAAAGCUAAAUCUAUUAGUUGAAUUACCGAAAAGUAGUUAUGUAAUGUAAAAUUUUCUCGAUACUUUAUCUGAGUUCUGAGCCCUAAGCUAAAUUGCUGUAAAUUUCAUCCAAUAACAUAUAAUAUAUAUACAGAUAGAUAAGAUUGCUUGAUAUUUCAUUACUUUGUGAUUUGCUUUUACUUUGGGGAAAUUACUUAACAGUUAAGUGCAUUGAGCUAGUGUUGCUAUCUCUUCUUCAGUAAUGAAUAUUUUGAGUUUCUUUCAUUGAAAUGCUAUAAUGAAUUUGGCUUUGUAAUGCAGCAACCAGUUUGUCUAAGUAGUUCAAGUAGGCCACGUUUAAGUUCGAACUAGCGACUGCCCGGAGUUUUGCUGCGAGUAAAAGGCGCGUCCAUUUCUUCAAACAGGUUGGUGCUUAGAGCUCUCUGCAAGUUUCAAAUUCAUAGCACUUACAUUGGUUGUUUUUACUGUGAUUAUUUACCAUGUCAAGUAGAACUAGUAGUUCUGCAAGUUUGAAACUCAUAGCAUUUGCAUUAAUGCACUUAUGGCACUUUUAUUGCUUUUGCUGCACUAGUUGAACGAAAAAUGUAUUCUCCAGUCUUACUUUGACACCAAUUUCCAUUCAACCCGUUUAAAUUCUCGAAGGACAGCAUAUCAUAUCUAUAAUUUUCUGAACUCUACUAGAAUCCAAAUCAUGAUUUUGCUCUUUUGUUCUACUUUUAUUUCGUGGGAUUUGUUGAGUGGUGCAAAAUGAUCAAAAGGGAGGCAACUAUUAAACUAUCAACUUGUGUCAUAAUCUGUAUAGGACGAUUCAGUGUCAUAUAUGGUUGAUUGUGAUCCAUUAUUGUUGCUGCAUCCAUAAAAUGAAAUUGUGGGUCUGACUGGGUUUAGCAAUAAGGAAAAGAGGUACAAUGUGAUCUUUUAGGAAGAUAGAUGGCUUGGGUUAUCACCGGUUUAUGCAUGGAUCAAUUUCAUAGGAGUAACCUAUCAUGCACUCUGAUGCAGCAAUUUGUCGGUUGCAUUGUCACUAGUGUAUUCAAUUUUCAAUAAUUGUUUUGGCGCUUGAUACCCUAGCUAUUUUUUAUAGAAUUGCCCGCUAUAAUCAUCAUGUUUCAACAGACUUUUUUUUGUCCCUCUUUAGACAUUAGAUAUUCUGGUAAAAUUUUGCUAUUAGUCCGUGUACUAUGCACAAGUUGUAAAUUUUUGUACUUAUACUUUAAUUUAGUCAUUUUUAGUCUUUGUACUUUUUAAAUUUUAAAAAUUUAGUCCUAAACAAUGACUGAUAAAUUCAUUAAGUUAAAAUUUGUUAUUUCCAACAUCUUAUGCCACAAACAUAUUAUCACGUUUGUAAUUCUAUGUCAACUUACUAUUUUCACACAAUGCUUCAAGAAAAUCGUUUCAUAGUAGUUAAUAAAUUUAAUAGCUCUUAUUUGAGUUAAGAUUAAAAUUUAAUAAAAUUUAAUAGCUCUUGUUUGAGUCAAGAUUGAAAUUUUAAAAUUUAAAAAAUAUAAAGAUUAAAAAUAUCAAUUUGAAGGACGUGGAUUAAAUCCACAAUUUAACGUCAUAGUAUGGAACUAAUAGCAGAAAUUUUAGAGUACAUAGACUAAAACCUGCAACUUACAUAUAGAACAUGGACCAAUAGCAGAAUUUGACCAUUUAUUUAUAUUCUUGAACAGAUUAAAUUCACUCUUUUUGUGCUCAAAAAAAAUCUGUCAUUACUUUGAGCCUACUUCUGUUAAUGCAUUAAAUCAGAUAUUUCUUUUGCUACUCCCCAGCUAUUAGUAGUACCAUAAUUUCCAGGCCCACUGCUGCUUGACUGGCAUCACUAACAACCAUUACCGUCCAGUCCCACUGCCGGUGUGCUUCCCAUGUAGUAUAUUAUUGUUAUUUACAUCACUUUCCACUGCCACUACUACCCAGCUACUUCUGCUGUGACUUCCUAGUAAAUUAGCAUUACUAACCAUGUAGACCACUAGAACUUGUGACACUCAGUAAUGGGGAUAUCCAUGUUUCUGUCUUUCAUUAAGCAGUGGGCUACUUCAAAGUCCAAACUGCGGUUUAAACAUUUUGUACUUUUUUUUCCCUUUUUCGUUUUCUAAUUUACUCAUUUAGUCCUUGUUUUAAUUUUUUGAAUUUUCUUUCUGAAUCAGAAAUCAGUAUUUUGAUAGAUUUGAACGUCGAUUUAAUUUUUGCGACACAGCUAUCAUGUAGGCAGAGGUGUCGUUCACUAGACUUGCUUAGAUCCUUGGGUUAGAGCUUGUGGGAACUGACCUUACUAUAGAAAAAGCAUAUACUAUCUCUAUUAUGUACCCAAUUGCAAGGUAUUUGAAUUAAAUCCCACUUAAAAAGUAUGAGAUUUUUAGUGAAAUUUAUAUGAACCAUGUUUGUCUCAACUUCAACAACUAGCUUUUGAGAUAUAAUUCUCCAUUGAUCUAUAUUUGUUAGUGCUUCAGUUUCCUUAACUUUGAUAGCGUGUGAACUUUCAAAUGUAAAGUAUCUAUCGGUUUCAAUGUCCCUUUCCUUGCUUGACUAACCUGCCCUACUUGUUUUCCAAAAUAGACUAAAACCAAAUUGUUUUAUGUUGUUGUCAGCUACAGUAUUGGUACUCACCAUGCUCUGUGUCUCAACCUCUAUGUUAAAACCUUUUUCCUUGAAAUUUCUUAGGCAAUUUUGGACACAUAACAAACAUAAAAAACAAUACAAAUAUAUAAUAUUAAUAUAAAAGUAUGUCAAUAGUAAGUUUAAGGUCAAAAUAUAUCAUAAGUACUUAUACUUUUCAAAAAUUUAAAAUUUAGUCUUUGUAUUUUUUAUUUCUAAAAAUUUAGUCUCUUUAUUUUGUUAAAUUUAGAUUUAUUAUAAUGUUAUUUUUUUAGUUACAUAACUAUAAAAUGAAUUUUUUUAAAUGUUACACUAAUAAAUAUAAUAAAAAAAUUUAACAAUGUUAACAAUUAAAUCUAGAUUUUAAAAUUUAAAAAAAAUGAUUAAAUUACUAAAAAUAAAAAUAUAAGGAUUAAAUUCUAAAUUAGGUAGAAAAAAUUUACCUAAUCUGAUAUGAUGUUUAUCAUGAUUUGAAAGUUUUGUAUUAAAAUGCCCAUUUCCCCACACGAGAAAUGUCACAUGUAUCACAACUUGUUAGGAUCAUUAUUUAUAAUAAACAUAAAAGCAGAUGUAAAUCAUAUCCCUCAUUUGACUCUCUAGAGGCAAAAAGAGGGAAGCAUAUUAUACUCCACUUAAUAUAUUGAACAUAUACUCUUCCUUUUUCAAUUGUAUAAAAUAUUCAUUUAAAAUAAUCUUUAUCAUGAAGAAAGCUAAAAAGAAACUUAAAGGAAAAAAUGAAAAAAAGGGGAAAAUGAAAGUUUAUGUUUUACAGAAGAUCCUUAUACUAUGAAUUUUUUGUAUAUCUAGUCCUUCUAUUAUAAUUUAAUAUUUCUACUCCUAUUUUACCAAACAGGUAUUUUUAGUUUCGAUGUCAACUUUUUCUUCUAAUUUUGCUAAAUAUUAUAAUAGGAUAUAGCACUUGACUCUACAUCCACAUUUUGUACAAUUAGAUAUUAUUUUUGUAUAUUUAGAAAAAGAAUAAAAAUUAUAAUAAAGUGUAUAAAAAACAAUGCAAAAGUGAUAAUGUAUUUAAAUAUUAAGGUAAAAUUAGUCUCAAGUUAGAUCCAUGACAACCCACUACCUCUACCCCUAUAAGCAUUAAUAAAAGUGAUUGAGGGUUAAAAAUUAUCAAAGUAUGGAAAAGGGGACUAAAUCCGAAAAAAUGAAAAUUCAGAGUCUUUUUAUGAAAUUUUACCAAAAUGAAAACGGAAACUUAAACGCGUAGAGUACAGCAGUAUUCGGGUCUUUGGUCAUCUUCCUCUUCACGCGGCAUCUUCCCCUUUAAUCGCCACUCUCUCUCUCUCUUUAUAUAUCUUUAAAAACCAUUCUUCAACCUAACAAAAAAAACCACAGCAACAAAAAAGAAAACCAUACAAACAAAUCCUGAAAGACUCUCUCUUUACAACGUAAAGAGCAAAAACCCCAACAGCAAAACGUGUAGCAAUAAGGUAAAAACACGGUAGGGAAGGAAGGUUGUUAAUAUAUACAUAUAAAAGUUAUAACGGAGAAAAGGUCGAACGAUUCAAAAAAACCCAACGAUGGCUAUGAUGUUACGGUCGCUCGCUAGGCCGCUUGAACGUUGCCUUGGGUUAAGGGCCGGUGGGGAUGGUCUCAUGUGGCACACUGAUCUUAAACCUCAUGCUUCCGGCGAUUACUCUAUCGCCGUCGUUCAAGCCAAUAAAAACCUUGAAGAUCAAAGCCAAGUCUUUACAUCUCCUUUGGGUACCUAUGUUGGUGUUUAUGAUGGUCAUGGCGGACCCGAAGCUUCCAGAUUUGUAAACAAGCAUCUUUUCCCAUUUCUCCACAGUAAUUGUUCUUUGACCCUUUUAAUCUUUUUCUUAAUUCUUUUUUCUGGUUUUUUUUUUAGAUUAUCUGAAAUGGGGUUUUCUUUGCAUGUAAUUUUUCAAGAUUCAAAUAUUCUUUUGUGUUUUAAUGGGCAAAGAGAAUUUUGGGUUUUUGUCAGUUUAUGAUAUUUUGAACAACUUCCAAGUGUAUCAUGCACGGUUAUUUAGUUGUUAUUUGUGUAUAUGAAUGAAUAUGAAUUACUUUGUCUAAAUAUAAAUCUUUAUGCUUUUGAAAUUGGAAUUUGGUUCUCAAGAUUCUAAAACCAUUCAGUUUAAUUUCAAUUUUUGGCACCUUUCACCUCCUUGCUUUAUUGGGUUUUGUCAGUGAAUGGUUGUGUUCUUGUUUUAAUUUUUCUAUGUCUUAAUUGUAGAAUUUGCUACAGAGCAAGGGGGAUUAUCUGCAGACGUGAUAAAGAAGGCGUUCAAUGCUACUGAAGAAGAGUUUUUACAUUUGGUGAAGCAAUCAUUGCCCGUAAGGCCUCAAAUUGCUUCAGUUGGAUCAUGUUGCCUUGUUGGUGCGAUAUCCAACGAUGUGUUGUAUGUGGCGAAUCUCGGCGACUCGAGAGCAGUUCUUGGCAAAAGAGUUUCGGAGGAUAAGAAAAACAAGGUUGUGGCGGAGAGGCUAUCAACAGAUCACAAUGUUGGAGUUGAGGAAGUAAGGAAAGAGGUUGAGGCUCUUCAUCCUGAUGAUUCGCAUGUCGUGGUUUACACUCGCGGAGUUUGGAGGAUUAAGGGCAUAAUCCAGGUACUUAACAAAAUCUGUUGGCAAACCCAAUUAUAAGAGUUUUAAGUUGAAUCAGCCAGGUUGAAGAACAGUUCAUGUUUUGGUUCGAUGAAUUCGAUGGAUUUGCAUAUACAUCUUUCUUUCCAGACAUUGCUUGUAUGUUUAUAGAAGAGGUACAUUUACAAAACAACUAUGCAUUGUGCAUCCUCUGAAUCAUAAUGCUAAGCUUAUGCGACUAUAUGGAGUCUUCUCUCUUUUCUUUUUCGGGUUUUUUGGGCUCCUUUUGUUGAUUUCUUUCCCCUUUAACUUCAGCAGUUAAAUGGUUCUCUGUAAUGGAUAAUGUUGGUCUAAGCAUUGAACUUAUUUUUUUAUUCAGGUGUCAAGAUCUAUAGGUGAUGUUUACUUGAAGAAACCGGAUUUUUAUAGAGAUCCAAUCUUUCAACGAUUCGGAAACCCUGUUCCCCUUAAAAGACCAGUUAUCACGGCAGAACCCUCCAUCCUUAUUAGAAAGCUUAAGCCGCAAGACUUAUUUCUGAUCUUUGCAUCAGAUGGCCUAUGGGAACAGUUGAGCGAUGAAACUGCCGUAGACAUUGUUUUCAGAAACCCCCGAGCCGUGAGUAUUCACCUUUGUCUUAUUGGUUAAUUUAGUCUUCAUUAGCAGCUGGACUGAAUGACAGAGUAUUGAUUUUCAAUUUGCUUGUAUUACUUGCAGGGUAUUGCUAAGAGACUGGUAAGUGCUGCACUUCGAGAAGUUGCAAAGAAAAGAGAGAUGAGAUACGGCGAUAUUAAGAAAAUCGAGAAGGGAAUAAGACGGCAUUUCCAUGACGAUAUAACCGUAAUCGUCAUCUACCUAGAUCAACACCGAGGCUCUUCACAUAACAUAGUUAAACAUAAUGCCAUGGGGUGCACGACGGCACCAAUCGACAUCUAUUCAUACAAUGCAGAUGAAGGAUAUGAAGGAGAUUUACUUCAAACAGUUUCUUGAAUACACAAUAGAAUGAGUUAAUAUUAGGUUUAGCACACUGACUUUUUAUUCUUUUUCAAGUUUUAUUCAUGUAUAGAGAAACCAAAUGAUAGGGUGGAUUGGUCCUUAAACCAAUGUUUCAUUGGGAGAAAAAUAGAGUUUGGAAGGUAAUUUUAGCCACCUGAGACGGAUUCCGACUCUGGUGGCUAUAGGUGUUCCGGUUGAAGUUCUACCGGUUGCCGAAAAGGCUACAUUGUUUUAUUGGUUUAUUAAAUUUAUCGCUUAUAUUAUAUUUAAUUUGAAGUGAGUAACUAAAGACAAUUAAUCACGUUAUAAAUAUUUUUCUUAGUCAAUUAUACAUAAUUUUGAUCGGUGUAAUAAUAAAUUUAACUCUUAAUAUUCAUAUAAUUUGUGUAGAUAUUGAUAGAAUAUGUAAAUAUUGCAAAUUAACAUUGUUAAAUCAUGACCAAAUUGACAAAAUAUGUAAAUGUUAUGGGUUAAAUUUGUUAAAUCAAUAUCAAGUUGAUAGGAUAUGUAAAUAUUAAAAGUUAAUUUUGUUACUAUAUCGAUAGAAAAAGUAUAAUUGAUGAAAAAAUAUUAAUGUUAUGAUUAAUCGUUAUUAGUUGCUUACUUUCAAAAUUGACAAUGAUUAAAUUGCUCUGACUUUUUUUUAAAAUGAUCAAUUUGCUCAAAAUGAAAAUUGAGAGGAAUCUAAAAGUCUUUGUACCCCGUUCUUAUACAAUACCAUAUAUAAGUUGUGAAUUUAGUUUUUGUACAUUAAUUUAAUCAAUUUCAGUCUUUGUUCUUUUUAAAUUUAAAGUUUUAGUUAUAAUUCAAAUUGUAAAUGAAAUUCGUUUCAUUAUAUUAUGUUAUUGGUCUUAUACUAUAAUUACAGUUGUCAAUUUAAUUCAUAUUUUUUAAUUUUAUCUUUUUUAGUUGUUAUACUUUUAAAAUUUUAAUGCAAACGAAAAUAGUUAAAUCUAUUAAACGUAGAUUUACUAUGUGUGCAAUAUAUGAAAAUAGCAGCUAUUAUUUGAUCAAGACUAAAAUUGAAUAAUACGAAAAAUACAAAAAUUAAAAUUAAAUAAAUUAAAAGAUAGAGAUUAAACUCGCAAUUUAUUCAUAAUACAUGAACUAAUAACAUAAUUUAACUUAUUUUUCUUAAUACUCUUAAAUUAAAAAUGACACUUAAUAAACUACAGGAGUUAGGUGAAAUGACAAAAGUCUCUACUACAUUAACCAGUGGUUGAAAGUUUGAUCAUCAUAUUGACUCUUAGUCUACAUUUACCCUUUUAAAGGACUUAUAAAAUGUAAAAAAUUAAUUAUUUGACUCGCUCUAGGAACCUAAUAACACUACAAAGUUGGCUUGUAAUUUGUGUAUCUAAAACAAAAGGGAAAAAAUGUUUUGUGAGGCAAAUUCCUUCAAACUGAAAGACAUGGGAAUUUUGGCAACUGGAUAGCAAUAACCUAACUUGUUAGGUGAAACGAACCAAACUAAAGCAUAAACGACAAUCAGUUGCGCUAAAGUUAGGAUGUCUGUCACUUUUUAAUUUUUAUUAUACAACUUGCUUCACUAAACAAAUACUAUUUAAUGAACUUUUUAAUAUUCUCACUCUACUUUUCAAUAAUUCAUAAAGCUAAUAAAUAUAUUAUAUUCUUUCAAAUUACUUUUCUUUAAAUUAUUUUUUUCUUUAUUUUAAUUGAAAAUUUUUAUUGUAUUAAUUUCAUAAAAAUAUUCAAAAUUUUAAUUUAUUCUUUGAUUUCUAAAUGUGUUUAGACAUUAAAUAUUAGUUUUGAUAUGAUGUAAAGUAUGCCUAAAUUAAAUUGUAAAUUUAUGUAUACUUACAUCAUUAAUAACUUAAAUCUUAUGCGUUAAAAAAAUACUGUUAAUAAAUUUUAAGAUGAUUAACACUUUAAACUGUUAAAACGAUUUUUAAGUAAAAAUCAUGUUGGUACUCUAACCGGAAUGGUUAUACUCUAGCUACUUGGGUUAACUGAUAAUAUUAUAAAAAGUAGAGGAUUAAAUUACAUCAAAUAAAAUUAUGGAGAUUAAAUUUUAAAUUUGAGCAUAAUAGAGGGAUCAAAACUACAAUUUAACUCUUUUUAAGUUCAAAUAUUUUGUUAAAUGAUUAAAUCACUAUUUGAGGCUUGAACUUGAAACCUACUUCUAUAUUGGGGUUUGAACUUUUUUUUGUCUAAAUUGGUCUCUAUACUUAGUAAUUGUUCUUAUAUUGGGGUUUGAACUAGGCCAUUGUUUUUAGGGGUCGGGAUUAAAUUGUUUAAUUUUACAGUAAUAAAAAUGUAAUUUCACUAUUUUAAUAAUCUAUCUUUAUAAAUUUUAAAGGUUUAAAUCAAUUUUUUUAUCAUUUGAGAGGUUAAAGUGUAAUUUUACCUUAUUAAUUUAAAAUUUUAUAAAUUAUAAAGAGUUUAAAUGAAAAAUUUUCUAUUUUAGGGGAAGCUAGGAUCUUGCCAGCCCUAGCUUUGACUUGAACUUGGCAGUUGUUUUAGGGCUUAAACUUAACAAUUGUUCCUACAUUGAGGCCUAAGCUUUAGAGUUUUCAAAGAAACAUCAAAGACUAACUUGAAAAAAAAAAUUAAACCCCAAUAUAAAAAUAAUUACUAAAUUUAGGGACUAACAUAAAAAAAUUAGACCCAAUAUAAAAAUAGUUACCAAUUUUAGGAAAAAAAAAGUGAUUUAGCCCUUUGCCCAACCCCAUUCAAGUUACCAAACGAGAGGAAAAGAACAAAUUCCUAGAAAAUCUACAAUUUUGUGCGCUAGAAAAGAAAAUACAAAUAGUCGUUUCAGUAUAAUUUUCUCGGAAAAUAACCAAAACCCAGUCCUUUAAGCUUCAACGUCCAAAGAAAAAAAGAAUGACUGCAAGUCAUUUGGUUGCUGAAUCCGUGUGGAAAACAAUAGAGUCAACUCAUUCAGGUCUUUCUUUUUUUCCCCCCUUAUUUAUUCUUUCUCUGUAGAAAUUAAAUUCCAUCUUCUUCUUUUUUCCUUUUUUAAAUCCCUAAAUUUUGUGAUCUUAUGACCCAAAUUGGCCAGUAAAUGAAGAGCAACUAUCAAUGUAAGGAAUAAUCAUUUUCUUUUAAAUCUUUUUAUUCUUCGGCUUUUUAAAAUAAAAAUAAAAAUAAAAAUGGUGGGUAUUGAUUAAUUUUGAACUUUCUUUUAUUGUAGCUUGCAUUUUCUGUUUGGUAAAAACUUCGAGAGAGCAACAAGGAUAGUUGACCAAAGGGGUGUCAAGAAAAUCUCCGGUGAACCCAGUGGUCGUUUUAUCUUUCAGGUUCAUUCUCUUUGUUUCUAUCUCAAUUUUUGAAUAUUGGUCGAAUUCUCCUAUUAGUCCAUGCACUCUGCAUAAAUUGCAGAUUUAAUCCAUGUUCCUUGAUUUAAUGUUUUUAAUGAUUUUUUUUCUAAUUUUAAAACUUUAAUUUUAGUCUCAUGUUAUAUCUAUUUAAUUAAAUUAAAUUAUUUUAUUUCAGUUAAUAAUUAUUUUAUUCUAUAAGGUUAGGACAGAAAAAUCUAAAUAUUAUAAAAUUAAAUUGAUCAAAUUAAAAUAUGUAGACUAAAUCUGUAAUUUAGGCAUAGUAUAUAUAAUAAGGGCAGAAUUUGACAUAGAAUAUUUGGACAAGUCGGCUACCUUAUGUGAAAAAUGUGGUCAUUUUGGCAAAUAUUCCAUUUUAAGAACUUUCCUGGAAAGUUUUCUGAAAAUGUGAGCCUUGAGAUAAAACCCGAAGUAGAAUUAAGACACAUCAAUAUAUAUAUCCAUUUGUAUAUCUCAAUAUAUAUAUAUAUAUAUAACAUACGCAUGUCUAGUUAGAAUAUUUAGACAAGUUGUCGGCCACCUUAUCUGUAAAAUGUGAUCAUUUUGGCAAAUAUUCCAUAUUUAAGAACUUUCCUGGAAAAUUUUCUGAAACUAUGACCCAUCAAGGCUCUUGGCAGAAUCGUAAGAUAAAACCUGAAGCAGAAUUGAGACACAUCAAUAUAUAUAUCCAUUUGUAUAUCUCAAUAGAUAUACACAUACGCAUGUGUGGUUAGAAUAUUUGGACAAGUUGUCCUCUACCUUAUCUGUAAAAUGUGAUCAUUUUAGCAAAUAUUCCAUCUUAAGAACUUUCCUGGAAAUUUUUCUGAAACUAUGACCCAUCAAGGCUCUUAGCAGAAUGGUGAGAUAAAACCCGAAGCAGAAUUGAGACACUUCAAUAUAUAUCCAAUUGUAUAUCUCAAUAUAUAUAUACAUACGCAUGUCUAGUUAGACUAUUUGGACAAGUUGUCAUCUAUCUUAUCUGUAAAAUGUGAUUAUUUUAGCAAAUAUUCCAUCUUAAGAACUUUCCUGGAAAAUUUUCUGAAACUAUGACCCAUCAAGACUCUUAGCAGAGUCGUGAGAUAGAACCCGAAGCAGAACUGAGACACAUCAAUAUAUAUAUCCAUUUGUUAUAUAUAUACAUACGCAUGUCUAGUUAGAAUAUUUGGUCAAGUUGUCAUCUACCUUAUCUGUAAAAUGUGAUCAUUUUAGCAAACAUUCCAUCUUAAGAACUUUACUGGAAAUUUUUCUGAAACUAUGACUCAUCAAGGCUCUUAGCAGAGUCGUGAGGUAAAACCCAAAGCAGAAUUGAGCCACACCAAUAUAUAUAUAUCCAUUUGUAUAUCUCAAUAUAUAUAUACACAUACGCGUGUCUAGUUAGAAUUUUGGACAAGUUAUCUACCUUAUCUGUAAAAUGUGAUCAUUUUAGCAAAUAUUCCAUCUUAAGAACUUUCCUGGAAAUUUUUCUGAAACUUUUUUUUUCCCAUUGUUUGGUGCUUUAGGUUGUGGGAGAAUCUAGAAGAAAAGAAGAAUAUUUCUGUUUUGCUGAACAUUAUUGUGCUUGUUAUUCAUUCUUUUAUGAUGUAAUUAACAGAGCAGAACAGCUUUGUGUAAGAUUUCUUUAUUCCCUUUUCCCCCUUAUUUUAUUGCAUUUAAUAUAUAGGUAAAAAUUUUGAAAUUGAGCAAAUUGGUCCCUCUAAAAAAUUAUAGCAAUUUAUCUUUGUCAAUUCCGAAAGUGAGCAACUAAAAACAAUUAAUCAAAUUUGUUAAAUCAGAACAAAAUGGAAAGAAUAUGUAAACUUUGAGAGCUAAAUUAUUUAUUAUACCAAUUAAAUUUAUGUACAAUUGAUGAAAAACAUUAAUUUUGUGAUUAAUUAUUCUUAGCUGCUCACUUUUGAAUUAAAAGGGAUUAAAUUACUCCAAUUUUUUUAGAGGACUCAAUAUGCUCAAUUUGAAAAUUGAGAGGGACUGAACUAUAUAUAUUUGCUUUAUUUUCAUAUUUUGUUUUGUUUUUUGUAUAGUGUAAGCAUCAAUUAGCUGCAAGGCUUGCUGGAUCAUUGGGAGCUUGUAUUGAAGUUAAAGUGUCUGAUGAACAGCUAGCUGUAUUACUUUCAGAGCUCUAAAUUUUUGUAGUAAAAUCGUAGCGGGUCGGAUCCGAAAUUUAAUCUAGUCGGUUUAUGCAGUUACCUUUAAAGAAAUGACAUUUAAUAAAUAUGAUUUAAUUUUCGAUAAAUAAAAAUAUUGUUUGUAUGUUUCACAACAAAAAGAAUGAACAAAUUAUAAUCAUCAAAUCAAGGGACAAUAUUGUGAGUUUUCAUCUUUUUAAUCCAUGAAUUGAACGACGUUUUCGAGUUCCGGAACCCCACAAAUCCAUGUUCUUUGCUCUUGUUCAUGCUAUCCAACAGUGACUUCCCCGAAAGCACCGAAUCAACGAACUGCCAUGCUCCGGCAUCAUUCAAUUUCAUCGGCAAAAGAUCGUUCUCCCUCACGAUGUUGUCCCACACCGGACCUUUGUCUUUCAUCAUUUCAACCAAGCUUGGCACCUUCUCUUCGGUUUCUUGAAAUCCGUAGUGUUCGAUACCAAACUGGUCAGCUAACACUUUCCAUAAGUCCUUCCACUUGAACACAUCUCCAUUGCUACAAUUAAAGGCUUCGUUUUUUGCUCGCCGGCUCAUUGCUGCCCAUAUUUGAUGUUCUGCAAUCAAAUCCGCAUCCGAUGCAUCCCAAUACCCUUCCCACGCUUGUCGGUUCCCCGGAAACCUCAACGGCUCGCCUUCAUGCUUACAUAUCGCCGCGUAAAUGCAUAAACUCCGAACUAUAUUCAUCGAACUAAACGGAGAAAACCCAAAAACCAAUCCUGGCCUAUGACCUGACCAUGUCAAGUUCUCCUUCUGCUUCACUUCUUCCAACAAAACAUCCUCGAGCGUAUAACAAAAGUUUGACGAUUUAAGCCUCGGAAGAUCCUCGCGAAAAGGAGGAUCAUGCGGCUGAACAUGAUAUUUUCCGUACAAAUCAAUCGGACCAGUGUAAUGCCGCCGACCGGUUUGCAAGCAUAUAUGUUUCAACUUGGGUGAAUUCGGGAUUACCGCUUUCAACACGUUCCGUAACAUAGUGCCAUUGAUAACGCAGUUUUCAUCUUCAGUUGAUCUCUUAUCCCAUGCAACAUAAAACACAUGAGUCACAUCAUUAAGCUUUGAUAAUUUAUCAUAUGUUUCUUCUUCAUCUAAAACAUCGCAUUGUAUGUACUCAAUAGGCAAAUGACUAGUCGAGGCUGGUCGAGGCUGACGAGCAACACCGUAGACCUUCCACGGUCCGCCGGGAAUACCGGAGAACGGAAGAAUCUCGGCGAGACUGUUACCGACUAUGCCGGUGAUGCCAAUGACCAAAGCAACACUCUUGUAUUUGGAUUGUUUAUCAUGUUCUUCCAUUUUCUUCUGUAAAAAAAAAAAAAAAUCUGGGUUCAUUAGAUUAAAUGCAAAGAAAGAGAACCCAAAAAAAUGAAUGAGCAUUAACGUACCUUGGCAGCACCAAUGGCUCCUGCCCACCACCAACUCAUUGUAUGUUUUUUUUUUUUUUUUUUGCUAUUAAUGAAAAAAAUGCUGAAUUACAUCCUUAAACUUUGUCUGCAAUGUUUUUAUAGUGAUCCGCUUUGACAAAAGUGACGUGGGAAUUUAAAAAAGGAAAAAAAAACAAUCUUAUCUAUUUACAUAUAUCAACUACAGCUCAACAAGAACUUGUUAUCAAUUUGAUUUCUUUAUAAUAAUAAUAAUAAUAAUAAUAAUAAUAAUAAUUUUAGUUCGGAUAAAUUAUAAAAAUAAUCACUUUUGUUUGUCUCUGAUUACAUUUUAGUCACUUAUGUUAUCGUUUUGUUACGAAGUGGUUACUCUACCGUUAAACUCCGUUACCUCCCUAACGGUAGUCCUAUGUGACAAUCUAAAUGGAUUCUAAAUACCAACUUAGAUGUACUACGUGACAAUCUAAAUUAAAUUUAUUUAAUUAAAAAUCUAUUAUCAUCCCAAUUACUGGACAUUUAAAUUGUCAUUAAAAAUCUAUUUGGACUGCCAUGUAAGAUAACUGUUAAGGAUGUAAUGAAGCUUAAUAGUAAAGUGAUUACUUUAUAACAAACGAUAACGUAAGUGACUAAAACGUAACAUUUUAAACAUAAAUGACUAAAAUGUAAUAUGAGGCAAAUAACAAUGACUAUUUUUACAGUUUACCCUUUUAUUUUUAAUUUAUUUGAAUAAACAUGGAUACAACACAUAUAUAUUAUAUAAAAUAAAUUAAGUGGCGGAAUUUUUUUAAAAAAUUCAGAAAGGACGUGGAAAAUGGGUUAAUUGAUGAAUAAAUGUGUAAAUCCUUCAAUAAUUGAAUUGGUCAUAUUAUUAUUAUUAUUAUUUAUUUUUUAAAACCGGCCAACACAUAAAGACUAAGGAUUAGACAGCUAGUAAACACAUCAGCAUAUAAUAAGCUUGCGUGGAGAACCUAGCGUCUAAGGAAACAAUACAUCGUUAUCUAUUCACUAAAUCUUCUAAUGCUAUGCAAAAAAAGGAUAGAAUUUUGUGAAUUUUAUAAUUGGAAAGUUGGAUUAUGUUCGGUUUGUAUUUAAGGAUAGGAAAUUAAUAUGAAAUUUGGCUCUUUUUUUUUUUUUAAAUUGUAUUCCAAGUUAGUUUUUUACAUAAGUCAAACAAAACAUUUUAAGAAUAUUUCUUUUAAGCGGAUUGAAUUUUAGUUUAAUUAGCAUAAGUAUUAUUGUUAAUAUCAGAGAAUAUAGAUUUAAGUAUGUUGAAACGUUAGGUCCGUUCUUGACAUUGUUGGGGCCUUAGAGAAAAUAAUAAAAUAGGUUUUAAGUUCCUUAAAAGUUAGAGAAUUUUAAAAAAAUAAUUUUAGGCUCCUUAACAACUAGAAAACAAUAUUUUAGACCCCUUUCAGUCUUGGGCCUGGGAGGCCGCACCUCCAGAUAACCCUCAGAGUCGACUUGUAAAGUGCAUUAUCCUCUUAUUUAUAGGUUCGAGUGGGAUAUGAUUAGAAUCUAUAAUGAGAUUGUUAAAAAAAAUAAUUUUAAAGCAAAAAAGUUUUAAGAUGGAUUGUGAAUUUAAGGUUUUUUUUAAUGGUUACAAGUUGCUUGGAAACAAAAUAUUAGUAAAUUAGAACAGAAAAAUAAAUAAAUAAAUUGAAAAAAUUUAGUUUGCCGAUAUGAUAAAUUAAUUUUGUUUAACAUUCGUUGUAACAGCGGUUAGAACGAAAACAAGCAACAAAAAAAAAAGAGAAAAAAAGAACCGACAUAAUUAAUCUUUGUUAACGCAAUUUACACACAGUGGUCCCACAUUUGUGGAAUUUCGCCCAGUGAAUAAUUUUAUUCAACAAUCGUUCGGAUCACCUAUUGGCUUAAACUCAAUUACCUUUACACAAAAGAAGUAAUUCAAGCUUCAAUACUGACCCCUAUUGUCACAAAUCACUCACCCAAAUACCUCAUAAUAUGAUAGACUUUAAGCUCCUAUUUAAAAGCUGAAAUUAUCUCAUUGAUCGUCCUGAGUCUUAGUACCCUAGGGUGAAUCAAACUCAGUAUAAACGAAACCUAUUCAAGGCCCAAAUCAAUACCUAAGUAGAGAAACAGUUUCGUUAUAAUUGGACAUAAAACGAGCAGCAAUUAUCCCAACAAAAACAUAUUGUGGAGAGCAAGCUAAAAGAGAAACUUAUUCCUAAGUUGGCAAAUGCAAAUGCAAUUGCUCAGCUGUUUGUUUCAUGCAAAACUUAGUUGGCAAUUAACAAAUUCAAAUAGGCUCAACAUCUUUAACCUAAUUGCAAUUUGAAUUCCUUCCUUCAAAGAAAUCCUUCAACAUUUUUAUCUCUUUGUGCAAGCACUAUUGUAACAAGUCCAUCUUCUUAGCUUUCACUAGAGUCAUCUUCUUAGCUUUCACUAGAGCAUCUGUGGUGAUAUGGAGUUUACAGUAAACCUUAUAAGAAUGGGGAGUAACAAUCCUCUUUUGUCCGAUGACUCUUUUGUUUUGGGUAAGAAAUUCCAAAAUUCAUUUUACCUUCUUUCCAUGAAGAGCAAAUGAAAGUUGUGUUAUUGUUUAUGAGAAUGCAUGAAAGUGAUCUAGAGUUGAGUCGAGUUUUCUUUACUAUCUUUUUAGAUCAAUCUUGUACAUUUUAUACCAUUUGUCAUAUAGAAUUUUGGGUUAACUUCGUUUGGCCCGCAAAAUUGAUGUUAUAUGUCACGUUAAACAUUCUAAAAAAGUAAAUGGUAAAUUGGAUUAAUGGUCAUCCAAUUAUGAUUUUUUUUUUAAUCACCCAACUAUAAAAAAUUACAAAAUGGUUAGUCAAUUACUAGUAAAUUUUUUUCUUUUUUUUGUCAUUAAAAUAUGAAAAGUGACAAAAUGAUCUCCAUUAUCACUUUAACCGAUUGGUGACUAAAAAAACAUUUGAAUAAUUAGAUGACUAUUUUGUAAAAUUUUCAUAGUUGGGUGACACAUCCUAUUUGAUAUUUAAAAAUAUAUAUAUAACGACCUUGAAUACAUGGUAUUAGAGCCGCCUAUGAUUGCAAUUCCACAUUGAGUGCCCAUAGGUUGGAUCAAUAGGUACUCCGAGCCAAAAUCCUAAGUGUGUAGUGGUAGAAAAUAACGACAAAUACCCAUGACAAACGCAAUACGAGUUUAGAUGGAGAAGAAUAUUAAGCGAAACACUAAAAAAUUAGAUAACAUUAUUAAUACCACAUCAGAAAACAAGUACACUUGAACGCUCUAGGAAAGCAUAUGACUAAUAUCACUAGGGGGGUUUAGCUAGGUACAGCUGAUGGUCCCAAGUUGAAAGGGACUCUUGAGUAUAGCUGAUGUUUUGACCUUAGCCCUAUAUGGUAGGGGCAAAACACUAUCUAUCGGGUGUGUCCGCACCCAAUGAGAUAGAUUUUUGGUCAUCUAGACUGAUCGGUCUAUGGACGCCUCUAAUCCAGCUGACUUAUCCUAUUUUAUACACAAAAAUGUUGAAAUCUCUAGAUAAUGAAGAGUAAACUAAAAACAAAUAGCUUCCAUUAACAAGGCAUGGUGUUAGAGUUUAGGGUUUAGAACUAAUAAAGAAUCAUGAUUGCAAGCCAAACCUGGAUCAUUCAUAUACAUUAGAUGACAAUGAUCUCUGUAAGUUUUUGCAUUAAAACUAGGUUUGAGGAAACAUCAAAAAUGAAAAUCCAAUUUUCAGACAUAAAAUACUUCAUUAAUUACAUUAACAAAAGGCCUAUCAAACAUUCCUUUAGAAAACAAUUUUGAAAAGACACUGUUAACUGCACAUAAUGAUUUAUAUUUGACUUGUAUAAAAGCAAUUGUACAUACCUUUUCAAGAUUUUCAAUUCCCCUCUUUCUUGUUUCAUCUGCUAUAUAAUACAAAGUUCCCCAUCAGCUACAUGCAUAGCUAAAUAGAGCUUUAGGCAUUCAAAAAGCUAAAGAAUACAUGUUGGCCUCGAGGAAACACACAGAAUUGUGCACAACGUCACAUUUCAACUUUCUCUGCAUGCUUGAAUUGAUGAACACAACGAACAGUGCUAACACAAUACUAAAAAGGUUUUCUUUAUGGAAGACAAAUUUCUAUGACCAUUUUUCCACAAUACGCUCUGAUAAUCUAAUUUCCUCAUCCUUGGAAAUAUGUGGAUCUAGCUUCUGAAGGCUGUCAAUAAAUGUCUUUGCCUCAUCACGCCGAUUGAGUUUACAAUAUCCAUCAACUAUGGAAUUGUAUGUAUUCUGGUUUGGUUUACAGCCGUGCUUGAUCAUGAAUUGGACAACAUCAAUGGCUUCCUCAAACAAGGAAUCAGCUGCAUAACUUGCAACAAAGGUAUUGUAAGUGAUAACAUCUGGAACAAGGCCGGAAUCACUCAUUUCUGAAAAUAUCCGAGAAGCCUCUUUCAUUCGACCGUUUCUACAAUAGGCAUAAAUAACAGUGUUAUACGAGAUUAUAUCUGGUUUUAUUCCUUUUGCCUGAACUUCCCUUAAAAUUUGUUCUGAUUCCUUGAACUUUUCAUAGCGGCUAUACAUAUACAUCAAACUGUUGUAGGUCGUCAAGCUCGGAGUAUACCCACACUCAUUCAUGAAGUUCAAGAUCUCGUUUGUCUUGGAAACCAUCUGCCUCCUGCCAUAUAUGGAGAGCAUGGCAUUUAGAGUAGUUAUGUCAGGUGGAAAUCCUUUCUUCCUCAAUUCCAAGAAAGCACGCUCUGUGUCCGCAAGAAGGUCACAUUUACUAUUAACCAAAACAAGAGUCUUUAACAGCACAGCAUGAGGUUCGAUGAUACCAGAGUAUAUCUCUUCUGCUAGGGCAUGCAUCUGAUCUACCUGCUUCCCAUUGGCAUAAACAUGAAGCAAAGAACAGUAGGUUAGCUCAUUGGGUUUGCAACGACCGUCUCUCAUUUCAGCCAGUAUUUUCUCAGACUGCUUCCAAAGCCCUCCCCGUGCCAAUGCCGCCAAAACAGCAUUAUAUGUAGAAAGGUCGGGGGUAACUCCAGCUUCCAGCAUUCUCUUAUAAAUAGCCAUGGCUUGAUCAAAAGCACCACAGCGACUGUAUGCACUAAUUAAAGUGUUGAAUGUGUCCCUUUCAGGUACAAACCCUGCCCUCUUCAUCUCUUUGAACACUCCAGACACUUCUACAUCCAUUCCAUUUUGCCCAAAUACUGCCAAUAGCGUAUUCCAAGUAACAAUAUCCGGUGCACCAUUGCAUGCCUUGAUCUCGUCAAAAAUCUUCAUCAUCUCAGUGAACUUCCCGCGGUUACCGUGCAUCUUAAUUAGAGCAUUGAAAGUGCAAAUAUUUGGCUUGCAACCAGAAGUUCUCAUCUCCUCAAAAACCGCCAUUGCAGACUCAUCUUUUCCAGCCUUGGCAAAUCCCGACAAAAGAGUGGUAUAGGUAAAAACAUCAGGCUUAAUCCCUUUUCCCUCCAUCUGUGUUUUCAAGUCCAUUGCUUCCUCCAACAAACCAUCCCUAGCAUAAGCGGAAAUCAACGAAUUAUAAGUCACAAUGCUAGGGGCAAACCCAUUAAGUUCCAUCUCUUUUAAAACCUCCAUAGCUUCCUUCGGACGCCGAGACUUCCCAUAAACAUCCAACAAUGCAUUGUAAGUAACAUUAUCUGGACUAAAACCAGCCAAUUUCAUUUCAUCGAAAACCGAAGCCGCUUCCUCAUGCAAAGACCCUCGACGACAGCUACUUAUAAGCGUAUUAUAAGUAUAAGCAUCAGGGGCAAUUCCAUCACUUUUCAUCCCAUCAAAAAGAGUCAUGACCUUACUCCAAGGCAUGCCCAUUUUACCAUACACAUUCAAAACCACAUUAUAAGUUAUCAAAGUAGGCUUACAGCCCUCUUCCUCCAUUUUCUUAAAAACCACCAUGGCUUCCCUAUACCUCCCACUACCAGCAUAAGCAGUUAUCAAUGAAGUAUAAGCAUAAACAUCAAGACUAAACCCUUCUUUGUGCAAACCAUUAAACAAAUUAGCUGCAACAGAAACCCUCCCCUCUUUCCCUAACAUACUGAUAAUAAUAGCAACAACAGAGCUAUUCAACACCAAUCCACAAUCAUUUCUAGCUCUAACCCAAUUGAAAACACCCCAAGCCAAGUCAGAUUUCUUGUAAAAACCCAAAGCUUUAACAAUUCCCACCACUUCCGCAGCCAAAAAAUCAGCUUUCACAUCUGGGUUUUCUUGGUAUUGUUCAAACAAUUUACUCAAAACAACAUCAAGUUGAUUAGAAUCAAAAGAAGGUUCAAUUAAGGAAUUAAGAACCUGCUGACCUUGAGCAGAGAGGUUGUUAUGAGUCCAACGCUUCCCACGGUUGACGUCACGUGACCGGCCGAGACGGUUCCGGGUCCAGACUUGUGGGUCGAUUUGUUGUUGGGACUUAGAAUUAUGUCGAAGAAGGAGGUCUUGAAAGACUGGAGUCGAGGGAGCAGGUGAAUUGGGCUGUGAAGUUGGGUUUUGUUGAGUGAAGUGAGUGUGGUUUGAUAAUGGGGUUUUAACAGGUGGGGGAUUUGGAAGGAGAAGAGGGAGAGCAAGCCUCUCUGCCAUUAAAGAGAGGAUAAGAAAGUUGCAGCCUUUGUAUCUAUGGCUGAGUUAGAAAUAGAGAAGGAGAAAAAAAAAAAAAGGGUAAUUGAUAAUUUUAGCAAACAGUUGGUGUGCGCUUUCGUUAUUACUUGCAGAGUCCACAACCUUUCUUCUUUUUUUUUUUUUAGAAGUCUAAGGUUUAAAGGGGGACAUGACAAAGAUAUAAGGAGGAUAUUUUAGGAGGGAAAGGGAGAUUAUAUUCGUCUGUGGUUAAGAAUGGACUAUUGAAAUAUUCUGACCAAUAAAAGGUUGCCACGUUAACUCUGAAGGCGGACUCUUAAGUCAAAAUUUGUGACGUUUGCCCUUCAGGCUUAAACCUCUUCAGAUAUUUGAUUUUAGGAUUAGUAAAUACAAAGUUAGUUCGACUUAGACAAAUUAUACUUAUUUAAACAUUUUUUUAAUCAAAUUCAUAUCAAAAACUACAUAUUUUUAACUGAAAAUGAUUUCCGAUAAUUUAUAUUUGUUUUAUGAAAAAUAAUUUAAUCAAUAAAAAAUGACUUAUAGAUUAAUAAAAAAUAAUAUAUUUUUCCUGAAAAUUGAUUUAUCAUUUUGAAAAGGGUAAGUCAUUUUCUAUAAAAAAAAACUCUUUUAUUUUUAUAUAAAAAUUAAUUUAAAGUCAAGCUUAAUACUAUUAUAUUAAUAAUAUUUUUUAAAUAUUUAAAAUAAAUAAAAUAAUAUUUAUAUUUUUUAAUAUUAUUAAACAUAAUUAUUUAAUUAUCUAUAUAUAAUCAUAAUAAAAAUAAAUUUAAUAAAUUAUUUAAUAUUUCAAUUUUAUUUUAAAAAUAAAUUUUGAAAAUAAUAAUUUUAAAUGAUAUUAUUCAUAUUGUAUUGAAAAAUAUUCAAUAUUAAUAUUUUAAUAAUAAAUGUUUAUUACAAUUAUAAAUAUAUUAUUGUUAAAUAUUUUGUAGUAUAAAUGUUAAAAUAUACCAUAAGUAUAUAUACUCUUCACAAAUUUUAAAUUUAAUCCCUAUACUUUUAUUUUCAAGAAUUUAGUCCCUUUACUUUUUAUAUUUGAAAAUCAAGUCCAAUUGUUAACAUUGUUAAACUUUUUUGUCAAUUUUGUUGAUGUCACAUUUUUAAAUAAAAAAUAAUCAAUAUUCAUGUAACUAAAAAAUGACGUUAUAAUUAACAUGAAUUUAACAAAAUUAAUAAUGCUAAUAGAUGAAUUUUGAUGUCUAAAAAUUAGGGCUAACCCCAAAAUAAAAGCACAUGGACUAAAUUUCAAUUUUACGAAGAAUAUAAGGACUUAAGACAUACUUUAACAUAGUAUAAAAACAUGUAUAUUUUAAUUAUAUAAAUAUGAGUAUUUGUUUAAAUAAUCCUUAACUUCAUUUAUCCCUUAAAACUCUAAUGUGUCAAUAUGUACUCUCAUAUAUGUAAUACAUAUAAUUUAAAUUAAGUUUUAAUUAAGCAUUAUUUAUUAUUAAGUUUAUAUAUGACAUUGAUUAUUACAAAAUAUUUUCUUAUUAUUAAAUAAGUUUCGAUUGUCAAAAGAAAAUUGCACUGUAAUAUUUUAUAACAAAUAUAUCUAUGUCGUGUUUGCUUUACAAAGAACAAUAUAAAAUAUAAAUUUAUAGACUCAAUUAAAUAAUGGAAAUAUAAGAAAAUAUCACAUGUAUGUUUAUUUAAUUGAAAACUAUUUUUAUGAAAUAUUUUCAAGAAAUCUGUCAAAUAUUUUACGUAGAUUCAUCCAAUCACCAGAAAAUAUUAACUUUUCCAAAAUAAUAAUUCAAUUUUUAGAAAUAAUUUUUCGAAAUCAAUUUUUAGUGAAACAAACGAAACCUAAACUUGAAAGUCGUAAGUUAACUUAAUGUUUUUUUAGGUACUUAAUACUAUUAAAAAUAUGUUGACAUGACAGUAACGAUCAAUGGAAUUGUGACAAGUGAUAGCCUCACAUUUUAACUCGUGGCAAAAAUAUAUUUAUUAUAAUAUUUUUAUUUAUUUUUGCCACGUGUUGAAAUGUAAGGCUAUCACAUGUCACCAUUAUAUUAAUAUUGCUUUUAAAAAGCACUUCUAAGAUAAUAAUAAAAAAAACUUUUGAAAUAGAUGCUUUUAAGCUUUUCAAAAGUGCUCUUACGACCAAAAAAAUAUUUUGAAAGCAUUUUUUUUACCAAAAAUAGAAGCGAAAAGUUUUAGAACACAGCCUCGUCCAUGGAGCCAUUCCAAGCCAAAGAUUGUUAAAAGCUAUUGGUACUUGAUUAGGAAUAGAUUUAAUAACAUUCAUAAACAUUAGAAAUGCACUAAUAAUCUUUGCAUUAAACAGUCACUACAAUAUUAAGAAAUCCAGAAACAGAAACCCUUAAGGUACUUUCUAUUUGCAAAUUGGAGGAGGAACUAGGCAUUGUUUUUCUUCAAUAUUUUCAACAAAAAAAGAUAGGCUCCAAUAGACAAAGGUUAUUUGCCUAUUUCGCAAACUGAUUUUGCUCUCUCUCGCCUUCUCUAGAAUCCAUCAAAGAAAGUGAGGAUUAAUCAACCCGGCGAUUUCAAGAAAUUCGACACGAUCUUUGCCUCCGAAUAUCUUCUUCAGCUUGUCAUCGCAAAUUAUAAACCUCUUGUUAUUGGGGUCCUAGAGAAAUUGCAAGAAAGAAACAAGUCAGUUAUAGGCUAAUAGCUUGGCAAUGUAAAACAAAAGAUACAGAGCUUGAAAUGCGUAUUCGAUUUCUAAAGUGAAACUAGCUAAAGUCCGUGAUAGCUCUCGUUCACAACCAAAGAUACACACACCACUCGCAAGUCACAACGCUUAUCUAGUAAGGAUCAGCGGCAUACAUACAUACAUAUAUAUAUGAAACAUUUCUCAGGCAGGAAUACUAGUAAAGCUUUGAGCCAUCAGCUUCCGAGCUAGUAGUCAAAUGCAGAACAACCAAAACAAGUUUGUGUAAAGGUCAUUAUGAUGAAUACCAAAAAGGCAGGCAACAACAUUAAACUUGUCAAGGUAUCGGCUUUCUAGGCUCGAAAGCUUCUCUUGUAUUCAAGAAGACUUAACUGUCUGCAAGGCCAUCACUGGCAGAAUAAAGAUACGACUCUUACACAAAAGAAUCUAAUCGAGAUAUGUAGAUAACUCAUAACAAAGAAGCCGAUAGAGCAUUAUAAUCAAAUAAACUACACAUCUAGACUAUGUUCAUUGACUUCAAAUACAGAAACCCAUCUAUAAAAUCCAGAGUUCCAAAUUCCUAAAAAUCUUAAGGCAAAUGUAUGAAAAUCACCCAAUAGAAUUACUGUCAGUACCAUAUCUGUAUGGAAGAAGAUAGAGCAUCAACCAUGAAGCAGCUUCAUAAACAGCUAAAGAAAAUUUUUUUAUCCAUAAAGCAAAACCCAAAGCAAAUAAAUCUGAACUUCAUACGUUUAGAUAUACAUUCACUCACAAUAACCAGAAAUAAAGAUAGAAUUAAAAACCCAUUCAAAACCUCCAAAAACUCUUAAUACAUUUUCACAGCAAACAAACACAACCAUAUAGUUUAAAGAGGCAACGAAAGCAGCUAAUGGACCUGAAGAUUGUGCUCUUUAAUAUAAGCCCAAAUCUGCUUAAGAACUUCAGUUCGAGGGAUUUCCGGGACUCCCACGAGAGCUUGCAUCUCAGGCGACACAGGGCGGGGCUUCAUUAUGCCACGUGGCUUCCGGGGACCGCUGUCAGUCUUUGAAGCCGUGGCUUGAGUCAGGGUUCGUACCAUGCGCACGUUAGUUGGAUGAAGAAGACGGAGAGAAGAGGGUUUGCCCGAGAACGACACCGUUUGGGGCGAGACAAAAGUGGAAAAUGUGGCCGAAGAGACAGCCAUUUUUUUUCUUCUUAGUUUGUCAGGAAGAAACUGAAGAACGGAGGGGAUUUGUGGUGUCCUCUUUGUUUCUGGAAAUUUGUUUUUUGUUUUUUUUUUUCCUUUUUUGAGAAUGAGAAUAAAACGAAGAAGAUGAAUUAUCUGUUUUCUUUUAAUAUUUUAUUAAUUUUCUUUUUAUAUUUAAAUGGUUUUGAAUUUUUUUAAAAAUAUAUAUUAUCCCUAAACUGCGACCCAAUAUCUUUGGGCCAUGGACAUAAUUAAACCAUUAUCAAUAUUCUAGAAAAUUCCCAUUUGUUUUGGACUUUGGUCAUAGUUAAAAAAUAAGGGAAAUGGGCUGGGCUCUUUCGGAUCCAAGGCUAAUUCCAUCCACAUAUCAAAAAUCUUGUUCUCAAUUCCUCUUACUAUUAAAAUAUUCAAUUUAGUACUUAAAGUUUUAUUUAUUAAUUAAAUCGGUAUUAUCAUUACAUCUGACUCUAAUGGUAUUUUUUUUUAUGAUAUGGCACAUAAUCCAAUUAAAUUUUAACUGUCUUAUCAUUGCAUCCGAUCAUUUAUUGGUUUUUUUUAAAUAUUUUCAAUAUAUUAAAACAAUAAUUAAAAGUAAAUAAUUAAUAUCAUGCUAAAAAUCACAAGCACCAAUGAAACAAUGUUAUAUAAUUUUUUUAUUUUUUUUAAAAAAUACUAUUUUACAAUCAUUCUAUUUAAUAUCUUCUCUAAUUUAAUUUUGAGAUUCUUAUUUUCAUUGCAUUUGUUCCAUGUGGGAGCUUAACCGUCACAUCACAUUACCAUUUAGCUUCGAUCGCCUCAUUUCAUUAUAUAUAAUGUUUCACUAAGAUUUGAGAAACAUGUAAGCUAAUCAUUCUUGAUAAUCAAAUUACUCAGACAUGACAACCAUCACUUGUCACCUACAUAUCUUUCAACUUAAGUGAUGUCACAUUUCUCACCUAAUAAUGAUCUCAGAAGGACCUAACUAACCAACCGAAACGAGACGCAUGUUCGAUAAGAUCAACCUAUAUAAGAGCCUCUCUCGCUCUACACUCUUUUCCCAUGCCCAUCUCAAACUUUUCUUCUCCUUUACCUUCUUCAUCACAUACGGUAUGACUUCCCAGCCAACCACCCUAGCAAGGUUAACUAACGUUGCUUCUUAGUAUCAACAACAUUAGUUUGAGAUUCAAUUUUACUUUUGGUUCAUUUUUCUAUCGAACUCCAUUGUUAUAUGGUUCAUAUGGUUUUACAACUUAAUAAAAAUCAAGAGAAAAGAUUUAUUAAUAAUAAGAUUUUAGUAAAAUAUCGACAACCUAGAUAAGUUAAAGCAAUCAUUUUUAACCACCAAUUUGUAAUUAAAUUUAAAUAUUGAGUUAGAAUGAUAGUAAAAUUCUUUUAAUAUUUGACUAAAUUAUUGAUUUGGUAUACUUGAUUAAACUAAGCAAAUGAUCAGUGAGUUGACUUAAUCCUGAGUCGGGCCGAUGCAAAAUUUUAAGUUUUUUUUUAGGUUCAAGUUCGGUUAAAAUUCUGUCUAAAUCCGGUCCAAAUUAAAAAUGUUAAACUCGAGUUCGACCCGACUUGCCUGUAUUAAUUUUUUUAGAUUAUUUUUGUAUAAAAAUAAAUUUAAAAAAUAUAAUACAUCAAAUACACUAAAAACAUUAAAAUAAAUGUUUCCUAACAAAAUUAAAAAUACAUUAAAAAAUCUUUAUACUUAAAUAGCACUAAGAUAUUUGCAACUUAACGAGUAAAUGCCUCUAAAAUAGUAGUAAAAUUAACAAUAAAACAAGAGUUAUACAAUAUCCAAACAAUAAUAACAAAAUAGUAGCAAAACAAUAGCGAAACAACAAAAAAAACAACUUAUUCGAACCAGGCUUGGGAACAAAAAUCCUACCUAAGACUCGAUUCCAUUUAAAAAACGGGUUUUAUUUUUUGUUUAAGCCCAUUUCAGGGGCCUAUAUUUUUACAAAAAUUCUCUCACUUUUAAGACAGACCUUCAAAUCUGGACGAAUAACUUAACCUAUAAUCAGUUGUACUAAUAAGGAGCUACUACUAUUUCACUUUUAAUAUCGUAAUUUGUAAAGGUAUACAAUCACAACACAAUAUAAGUAGAAAAGUUUUAAAUAGGCAACCAAAAAGGGUUUUAGUUGCAAAUAAGGGAUUGUUGGUAUAAGUAUUAAAUUUAAGUUUUCUUUCAUAUUAUUCUACAUUUAAAUUUUAUUAUAUAUAUUCCAUUUAAAUUUUUUUGAUUUAUAUUCAAAUAUAUUUUAAUUUUCAAUUAGUUACACUUUAUAUUAAAUGCUCUAUAAUUCUAAUUAAUCAGACCAGCUUUCUUUAUGAUCUAUUUGUAUUCUUCUUCUUCUUUUUGAAUAAUCUUAUAAUAAGUUAUUAUCGUUUCUGUUCUUUUUUGACAUAAUAUCUAGAAUUACCCAUAGUUCCUUCCCAAUCCAUAAAUAGAAGGAAAAUAGGCUUCUGCAUACUCAAAUCCACAUCCUCCUAUAUUAACAACAAUGUCUAUACUGAUUGAGUCUCAAUCUGACAAUCUAUUUGUACUCUUUAAUGCUCUAACACUUUAAAAAGGGGGUUUUAGUUGAAGAGAGCUCAUGACACUUAAUCUCACCAAAACAGGUCAAAUGAAAUGAAACCUUACUCUAAACAUGGCCUUUCAAGACAGACCAAAUGUUACAAACACAAAGCACAUUCGAGUCUCGACAUCCUCUUUCAUGUCAUUUUUCAGUUUCUUCUUAUGACAGUAACCUUAAUUGGUACGAAAUUUGAUUGAGAGAUAGCUUUUGAUUAAACCACAUGCUUUUGCAGUUGAGAAAAAAAAGAAUAAAUAAUGCCAUAAAAAGUUCAACUUCAAUUCAUCUUUGUGGAAAGAAAUGAAUGGGCCAACAGGAGGAGGAUAACCAGUUCAUAUCACUUUAUAUUUACAGAUAAUGACCGUUGAACCGAUGGGGUCCCUCUUCCCCCUUCUAUUGCUUAUUCUCUAAGCUGCUUAUGGACCACUUUUUAAUUAGUUUUCUGGUUAAUUAAUCGAGCUUCCUUGAACUAUUAUUUAGAUUUUAAAUCGAUCCUUAAACUUUAAAAUAUCAAUAUUGAUUUAAAUUUGUUUCGGGUUAAUUGUAAUCACAGGUGUAUUUAUUAUAUGAAUAACUUAAAUUUGACAUGUUAAAAAAAUAUAUCGAGUCAUUAAAACUUAGGUUUUUUUUUUUUAAUAUCAGAUUUGGUAUGCCUGUGUAAUAUGUACACAUAAGUUUAUAAUUUGAUUUUUGUGUUUUAAAUAUGUUUUAAGUUAGAUUUGAGUUUAUAUUUAAGGCCCUAGCUAAUGACCAAACUAACAGAAUGAUUUGAUUGAUAUGAUAUCGAUAAUUUGAGGACUCAAUUUAAACUCGAGGAUAUAGAGAAUUUAAUUAAAACGUUUUGAAGUUUAUGAACCAAUCUAAGAUUUGAGACAUAAUUUAAGGAUGCUUGAUAUAAUUAAUUUUGAAUUUAAUUUUUUUAAAUCAAUAAUUUUGUGAAAAUAGAUACUUGAAUUUUAGAUAAAAAGCUUUCUAAAUGGGUUUUUGUUAAAUUACUUCAUUUUAAAGGAGAUAUGAUAAUAGUUUUUUCUAUUUUAAUAAAUGGUUGAGGGUUCAAUCUUUACCUUAAAUAUAAAGUAAUUUUAAAACUCGUAACCAGAUUAUACCCAUAAAUUAAUCUCUAAAACUUGAAUGAGUAGUCCCAACUUGAAAAACCAUAAAAAGAAGAUUGAAAGUUUCCAUCCACAUGCAAAACCAGAAAUGACUAUAAAAGCAUCACAUAAAAAUGGUAACCUCAUUUAUUAAAUGAUUAUAUAUCUAUAAUAUAAAUACAUUUAUUAAAAGUUUAUAUAAAAAAUUAAAAUUAACUUUAAUUAAAAUGAAAAAACAAAGGAUUUAUAUUAAAAUUUAUUAUGAGUGAUUUAUUAUUAAUUUAAAUAUAUAUUUAUAUAAAAGUUAAUUGAAUUUUAGUUCAAUUGAUAUGGACAUUAUUACUUUUAGAGAAGGACGGGAAUUUGAAUGCGUUGAAGUGCAUUACAUAUAGUAAAUCGUAUAAGGUAUAAAAAUCUUGUUGAAACUGGUAGGUGAUAAAUAUAAUGAUAAAACAUUAUUAUUUUAUGUUUUAGGGGUGCUUUAGAAAAGUUUGGAUGAAAACAGUUUAAAAUUUUUAAAACCCAAAACAAUUUAAAAUGCAUCAUUUCAAGAUAUUAAUAUCUUUAUUUAUACUUUAUAUUAAGAGAUUUAUUGAGUUAGUGUCAUUUAUCAAUCGGUCUCAAUUCGAUUAAAAAUUAUCAAAAAUUUAUUCUUUUGAGUUAUGGUGUGUUUGAUAAACUCAAAAUGUAAGUGCUGAAAAUUUAAGUACGGAAUUUUUAUUGCUAAAUUUUAUAAAUGCUGAAUUUAUAUUAAAAAAGUAUUUGAUAAAUUAGUAUAUAUAACUAUUGACUAUAAUUAUAUUUUUUAUAAAAGUAAAUAUUAAAAUUUUAUUUAUUAAUAUAAUAUUUAUAUUAUUUUAAUUAGUUUUGAAUAAAAGAUACGUAUGGUAAUUUGAAUAUCUCCUUUUUUUUAAAUUAAAUAAAAUAAAAUAAACUUAAUAUUUUAUACUAAUUAGUAGCUGACUACGUACUUAUUUUAUUCAGCACUUUUUUGUUGAAAAUUUUAAUUAUCAAUUAAAUGAAAAUUUUGAAUAGUUUAUCAAAUAUACCUUUAAUGUCACGCGUCUAAACUUUUAUAUCAAUUUUUAAUAAACUUAUUAUAUGAAUAUUCUCACAUAUAUCACGGAUGUACAAUAAUCUAGUAUUGUUUAUGUAUUUUAAAUAUAUUCUAGAAUAUUAAAAUAAUUUUCUUUAAAAAAAAAAAGUUGUUUUUUGAGUUCUGCUUAUUGUAGUGGGUCAUAUAAAAGUUAGAGAAGAUUUGGUCAAAUUUUAUAGAAACAAAUUUUCAUUUUUAUAGAGAAUUUGAGACCCUCUAAUUUCCUCAUUAGAUCAUUUUCUAAAAAAUUAAAAUUUUCAUUUUAUUUUAUCCUUUUAAUUUUUAAUUUAUUUGUGAACUUUUAAAAAUCCUUUAAGUAAGCCUUACCAAAUUUACCAUAAAAAAUCCAAACUCAUCCUAAUUAUUUCAGUAGUAAAUAAGGCCCCAUGCUUAAAUGCAACCAUGAGCGGCUAAAACUGGAUGGGACCGAUUCAUUAAACACCAAAACAUGAACCCUUAAUUAUCCUAUGCACUAGUAAAUUGGGUCAUAGUUCAAUUGAUAUUGGUAUUAUUGUUAAUGUAAGAUGAUAUUGAUUCGAGUGUAUUAAAGUGCAUUAUCCUCCUAUUUAAAGUUUACAGAAGAAUUAUGGAUAGUUCUAGGCAUUUUAUUAAGAAGAGCAGAUAUGAUAAGAACCUAUAAUGGAAUUAAUAUUUAAAAAAAAUUAUGUGAUGAUGUAGGUUAAAUUCUAUCAAUUUUGGAUUAUAUUUACAUUCGAUAAUUAUAUUAAAUUUAAAUUUUAAAAUAAAUUUAAUUAUACCAAACAUUCCCAAACUAAAAUUCAAAUUCUAGAUUAGUCUCUAAAAUUCAAGAUGUUUUAAUUGGAUCCUCAAAAUAUUAGUAUUGCAUCAAUCCGGUCAUUCAACCAAUCUAGGGAUGAAGUGAAAAAUAUUUUUUGGGGGAUCAGAUUUAAGUUAUAAUUUUUUGAGAGAACUAAAAUACAAUCUUAAUAUUGUAAUAAUAUAAAGUUUAACAAUUUCUCAAGGGGCUAAAUUAUAAACUUUAUAGUUUUGAAGGGCUAGAAUUGAAUUCUAGAUUUCAGAAGGGUAAAAUGCAAAAUUGCCAUUGAAUUAACUUAAAAUUUCACAAAAUUUAAACAUUCUUUAGUGUUGCUCGAAAUCAAUCUUGAAUUUAACGUGAAACAUAUUUAAAAUACAUGAUUAAAUUUUAAAUUUUAAAUACGUCUCUAGUCUUUACUUAUGAAUAACUUGAAUAUAACUUGUAAAAAGGAAGAAGAAGAGAAACUCUUCUAAUAAUUUUAAAUUUUGGACCAUAAUUUAACCACAUUAUUGAAUUAACACUUUGAAAAUACUAGUAAUUAAUACUAAUAAUAUUUUAAAAUAUUGGUAAAAAAAUCUCUUCAAUCUAUACGAAUUUGAAACCGAGCAAAUUAGUCCCUUUAAAAAAACCAAAACAAUUUAAUCCCUGUCAAAUUCGAAAGUGAGUAACUAAGAACAAUUAAUCACAACGCUUAAUGUUUUCCAUAAGUUGUAUAUGGUUCUGAUUGGUAUAAUAAUAAAUUUAGCUCUCAAAGUUUAUGCAUCCUGUCAAAUUGGUCCUAAUUCAGUGUGUAAGUGUUGAGGUUAAAAUUGUUGAAUUUUUUAAAAAUUAAAAUCAAAAUGACAAAAUAUAUAAACAUUGAAAGUUAAAAUUGUUAUUAUACCAAUCAAAAUCAAGUAUAUUUACUUAAUUUCGAAAUUUAAAAAAUUCGAAAAAUUUUGUUUACCUAAUAAUAUUGAAAUUAUGAAACGUGGAGAAGCAAAGCGGAUUGAUGUAUAAGCAAAGCUUUCAUAAUCUGUCUCUCAUGCAUUUUGGGCACCAAAAUUAUGUUAAUUUGUUAGUGAUUAAGACCCUAAUUAAUUAUUAUAAUUUGGUUACUUAAUCACAACGAUUACAGUUGGGAAGUCCAAGGAUUGAGAUAUAUUGUUUGCAUAGUUCGAUAAGUACAUCAUCAAUUUGUUUGUCUUUCUCAUUCAAUUAACUUCUUUUUUUUUGACAUUUGAUUUUCCUUCUGAUUUUGAAAAUUUUGACAUUUUUAACAAUAAAAUCUUGACAUUUCACCCGUUACAUGUUUUUUUUUUAAUAGAAAAAGCAAGAUAGGGAUUAUUUAUAAACUUGUUAUUAUAUUAUGGGUUAAUGUUAAAUUUUUUUUUAUCUUUUAUAUAAAUAAAUAAAAUUGUUAGGAAAAAAGAACCAAAUGAAUAAAUAUGAUAAAUUAUUUUACGUACUUUUCCCAUCAUAUCAUCUAUGGUCCCUUUUCAAUUAUUUAAUGAUAUUUUAAUAACUUUUUUCAUGUAUUUUUUACCCUAAACUAUGAAUCCUAAACCUCAAACAUUAAAUUUUGAACUCUAAACCCGAACCUCGAACCAUGAUAAGAACUUAUAGUUUAGGUUUGAGGUUCGGAUUUAGAGUUCAAUAUUCAAUGUUCGAGGUAUAGAGUUCAAAGUUUUGGAUUUGGAAUUCAUGGUUUAGGGUAAAUUUUUUUUACCCAAAUUAUGUAUCAAUGACAUAAAAAAAUUUAUUAAAAUAUGGUGGGAAAAGUUUGUAAAAUAAUUUCUCAUAUAUAUAGUUAUUAAAUUAAUAAAUUAUAUUUUUUCAAUUAUCAUAUUUUAAAUAAUUAAUAAAUUUCAUCCAAACAUAAUAUUUUAUUAUGUCGAGAAAAUACAACUUAUUAUCAUCUGAAUUUAGUAACGAAAUUAAUUAAUUAACAAAAAGCAUGGACCUAAUUGAACAUGACAAACGUUUCAAAUAGAGACCAGAUAAAAAAUUAGCUCAUUAUUAAUUUCCCCUAAAUGCCCACGACAUUUUCCUUCUAGAGAGAUGUCACCAUGCCAAUACCCAUGGACGUGAUUCUUAGUUUUAGUAAUGUAGAUUAUAUCGAGUCUUAAUUUUUGGCACUUAAAUUUAGUAAUUAGUAUUCAAUCUAGGGAUUUGGAAAUUUUUUUCAAUUUGGUAUUGAAUUUACAUUUCGUGACAUUUUGAAAUUAUAAAAAUUAUUUAAAAAAUAAUUUUUAGAUGUUAUGUUUAUUUUAAUUUUCAGGUAAUAGCAUAACAUAAUAUUAUGAUAUCAUGUCAUUAAACUUUAACAAAAUUUAUGUUAUGGGGUUCAAUUGAAAAAAAAAACCUAAGUUCUCGGAUUAAUAUGGACAAAAAAAUUAAGGUACUAAAAUGAAUUUAAUUACCAAAUUUAAGGACCAAAAAUUACAUUAACCCUUUUAAAAUAAAAAUAAAAAUAAAAAACAUGCAACGGCUUAACUUAGCGUACAAAUUACAUUUGCCAGUUAGCCAUGAAAUGAUCCACCUCAUCAUAUCUCUAUAUUAGAUGGGGCCUACUCGGCUUUCUUCUCAUUUAUCCCAUUUACCCUCCAUCUAAUUUAUUUAUUUUUAAUAAAUUGAUAAUUUAUAAAUUUAUAAAUAAAUUAUCUUUAUAAAUUAUUAGAAAACUAUUACAAAAAUUUUACUUUAAUUAUUUUAUGAGUUAUCAUCAUAGAUGAUAAUAAUCAGAUACACACUUAUAAUUUCUCCCCAACUAAUAAAUAGAAGAAUAAUACGCUUUAAUAUAUUUGAACUUAUACCUUUCUACACUAACAACAAUACCUCAUAUCAAUUGAAUCAAAACUCAAUGAACAUUUAUCAUAAUUUUUUUAUAUAUACAUAAUAUAAUAUAAUUUAACAUCAAAUAUAUAAAUAAUAAACUAAGUCUUUUUCGACAAUUUUUUUAACCAUCAAAUAUAUCUUAAAUUUUAUUUUAUUGUAAUUUUAUAUGAACUUAUUAUAAUUUUAAUUUGUUAUUUAUAUUAUAUUUGUACUUGUAAAUUUUUAAAAAAAAUUAAAUUAAACAUGUUCAUUUUAAAAAAAAAUGUAAAUAUAAAUAUUUAUUAAAUAUAAUAUGCUUAUAAAGUAUGGUGAAAAUUUUUAUAAUAAGAGUCAAAUUGUAUUUUGUAUGUUCUACUCGAAAAAAUAGAAAAAUUAAUCAUUGUAGGUUAGUCUUUCUAAUAAAAAAUUAAAUCUAUUUUUCUUAUUAAAAAUUAUUUAAUUUUUGAAAAAAUUCUUAUAGGUAACUGUGUUUAAUAAAAAAUAUAAAUUGGAAAAAAAUAUAAAAGUAGUUUUGUUUUAGAUUAAAUGUAAAACUUUAAAAUAAUUGUAAUAUUUAAAAUUAAAAAUAUUAAACUAUUUACAACCGUCGGGACUAAAAAUUAUAUAUUUUUGAAUGAUGAUGAAGAUCGAUUCCUGGUGUAUAUAAAUACUGCCUUCUAUUCCCUUCAGUCUUCACUUCACCCUCUUUCUCAUUUCACACGGGUUGUGGCGUAGUUUAAGCAGAGAGGUUGCGCAGGAUAAAGUCUCUUCACCAUUGUUUCAACAUGAAGGUUUGUAAUAAAAAUUUGUUUCUAUCAGCAUUGCUUUGCAUUGCUAUUGCAGGAGUUUUGGGUCAAGCUCCUAGUAAUCCUCCUACGUCUACGCCGGCGCCACCCACACCACCGGCUUCUACUCCUCCUCCGACGACUCAACCACCGCCUACACCAACCGCCACUCCGCCACCAGUUUCUACUCCUCUUCCCACUUCAUCACCGCCCCCAGUGACAGCUUCUCCACCCCCAGUUUCAACUCCUCCACCCAGUUCUCCUCCUCCCGCAACUCCACCACCUGCUUCUCCACCUCCUGCAACUCCACCUCCAGCUUCUCCACCUCCUGCAACUCCACCUCCAGCUUCUCCACCUCCCGCCACUCCUCCACCAGCAACCCCCCCACCUGCAACUCCUCCUGCUACCCCACCACCAGCUCCAUUGGCUUCUCCUCCAGCCACAGUCCCAGCUAUCUCUCCAGUACAAACACCAUUGACCUCGCCACCAGCUCCGCCGACCGAGGCCCCAGCACC